rnacentral:rRNA from 1 species
CUACGGGUCGCUGCAGUGGGGAAUAUUGCACAAUGGAGGAAACUCUGAUGCAGCAACGCCGCGUGGAGGAUGACACUUUUCGGAGCGUAAACUCCUUUUAUAUAGGAAGAUAAUGACGGUACUAUAUGAAUAAGCACCGGCUAACUCCGUGCCAGCAGCCGCGGUAAUACGGAGGGUGCAAGCGUUACUCGGAAUCACUGGGCGUAAAGAGCGUGUAGGCGGGUUAAUAAGUCAGAAGUGAAAUCCUAUGGCUCAACCAUAGAACUGCUUUUGAAACUGUUAACCUAGAGUGUGGGAGAGGUAGAUGGAAUUUCUGGUGUAGGGGUAAAAUCCGUAGAGAUCAGAAGGAAUACCGAUUGCGAAGGCGAUCUACUGGAACAUAACUGACGCUGAGACGCGAAAGCGUGGGGAGCAAACAGGGUUAGAUACCCCCGUAGUC